rnacentral:rRNA from 1 species
GACGAACGCUGGCGGCGUGCCUAAUACAUGCAAGUCGAGCGAAUCUUUAGGAGCUUGCUCCUGAAGAUUAGCGGCGGACGGGUGAGUAACACGUGGGCAACCUGCCUGUAAGACUGGGAUAACUUCGGGAAACCGGAGCUAAUACCGGAGAAUACUUUCCUCCACAUGAAGGACAGCUGAAAGACGGUUUCGGCUGUCACUUACAGCUGGACCCGCGGCGCAUGAGCGAGUUGGUGAGGUAAAGGCUCACCAAGGCGACGAUGCGUAGCAGACCUGAGAGGGCGAUCGGCCACACUGGGACUGAGACACGGCCCAGACUCCUACGGGAGGCAGCAGUAGAGAAUCUUCCGCAAUGGACGAAAGUCUGACGGAGCAACGCCGCGUGAGCGAAGAAGGCCUUCGGGUCGUAAAGCUCUGUUGUCAGGGAAGAACAAGUACCGGAGUAACUGCCGGUACCUCGACGGUACCUGACCAGAAAGCCACGGCUAACUACGUGCCAGCAGCCGCGGUAAGAC